GACGAACGCUGGCGGCGUGCUUAACACAUGCAAGUCGAACGGAAAGGCCCUGCUUGCAGGGUACUCGAGUGGCGAACGGGUGAGUAACACGUGGGUUAUCUGCCCUGCACUUCGGGAUAAGCCUGGGAAACUGGGUCUAAUACCGGAUAGGAGCCAUUUUUAGUGUGAUGGUUGGAAAGUUUUUUCGGUGUAGGAUGAGCUCGCGGCCUAUCAGCUUGUUGGUGGGGUAAUGGCCUACCAAGGCGGCGACGGGUAGCCGGCCUGAGAGGGUGGACAGCCACAUUGGGACUGAGAUACGGCCCAGACUCCUACGGGAGGCAGCAGUGGGGAAUAUUGCACAAUGGGCGCAAGCCUGAUGCAGCGACGCCGCGUGGGGGAGGACGGCCUUCGGGUUGUAAACGCCUUUCGCUAGGGACGAAGCUUUUUGUGACGGUACCUAGAUAAGAAGCACCGGCUAACUACGUG
rnacentral:rRNA from 1 species